rnacentral:rRNA from 1 species
AGCUCCAAUAGCGUAUAUUAAAGUUGUUGCGGUUAAAAAGCUCGUAGUUGGAUCUCGGCAGGCAGGGGGUGGUUCGCUCCUUAGCGCUACUGCCCCAUUUGCCUGUGUGAUUGGCAGAGGUUUCGGGGUGCCCUUUAUUGAGUGACCCGGAGCGCUGUCAGGUUUACUUUGAAAAAAUUAGAGUGCUCAAAGCAGGCCUACGCUUGAAUACAUUAGCAUGGAAUAAUGGAAUAGGACUUUGGUGCUAUUUUGUUGGUUUAUGGGACCGAAGUAAUGAUUAACAGGGACAGUUGGGGCCGUUUAUAUUUCGUUGUCAGAGGUGAAAUUCUUGGAUUUACGAAGGAUAAACUUCUGCGAAAGCAUUCGGCAAGGAUGUUU